CCUACGGGUGGCAGCAGUGGGGAAUAUUGCACAAUGGGCGCAAGCCUGAUGCAGCCAUGCCGCGUGUGUGAAGAAGGCCUUCGGGUUGUAAAGCACUUUCAGCGGGGAGGAAGGCGGUGAGGUUAAUAACCUCAUCGAUUGACGGUACCCGCAGAAGAAGCACCGGCUAACUCCGUGCCAGCAGCCGCGGUAAUACGGAGGGUGCAAGCGUUAAUCGGAAUUACUGGGCGUAAAGCGCACGCAGGCGGUCUGUCAAGUCGGAUGUGAAAUCCCCGGGCUCAACCUGGGAACUGCAUUCGAAACUGGCAGGCUAGAGUCUUGUAGAGGGGGGUAGAAUUCCAGGUGUAGCGGUGAAAUGCGUAGAGAUCUGGAGGAAUACCGGUGGCGAAGGCGGCCCCCUGGACAAAGACUGACGCUCAGGUGCGAAAGUGUGGGGAGCAAACAGGAUUAGAUACCCUAGUAGUC
rnacentral:rRNA from 1 species